rnacentral:rRNA from 1 species
GGAGGAAAAGAAACCUACAGGGAUUGCCUCAGUAGCGGCGAGUGAAGCGGCAAAAGCUCAAAUUUGAAAUCUGGCGUCUUCGGCGUCCGAGUGGUAAUGUGAAGAAGGUAUCUUUGGGCCCGGCUCUGGUCUAUGUUCCUUGGAACAGGACGUCACAGAGGGUGAGAAUCCCGUGCGAUGAGAUGACCCGGGUCUGUGUAAAGUUCCUUCGACGAGUCGAGUUGUUUGGGAAUGCAGCUCUAAGUGGGUGGUAAAUUCCAUCUAAAGCUAAAUAUUGGCGAGAGACCGAUAGCGAACAAGUACAGUGAUGGAAAGAUGAAAAGAACUUUGAAAAGAGAGUGAAAAAGUACGUGAAAUUGUUGAAAGGGAAGGGCUUGAGAUCAGACUUGGUAUUUUGCAUGCUGCUCUCUCGGGGGCGGCCGCUGCGGUUUACCGGGCCAGCAUCGGUUUGGAGCGGCAGGAUAAUGGCGGAGGAAUGUGGCACGGCUUCUGCUGUGUGUUAUAGCCUCUGACGAUACUGCCAGCCUAGACCGAGGACUGCGGUUUUUACCUAGGAUGU